UACGUAGGGGGCGAGCGUUGUCCGGAUUUACUGGGCGUAAAGCGCGUGUAGGCGGCUUCUUAAGUCGGGUGUGAAAGCCCGGGGCUCAACCCCGGGAUGCCGCCCGAGACUGGGAGGCUUGAGGUCGGAAGAGGGGAGUGGAAUUCCAGGUGUAGCGGUGAAAUGCGUAGAGAUCUGGAGGAACACCCGUGGCGAAGGCGGCUCACUGGCCCGAUACUGACGCUGAGGCACGAAAGCGUGGGGAGCAAACAGG
rnacentral:rRNA from 1 species